rnacentral:misc_RNA from 1 species
GCCGGAGUAGAAAAACUCUCUUUCUCUGUCGCAAUUUGAAUCAAGCUCGCCAACUGCAACUAUGGUUUGCGAUAAGUGUGAGAAGAAGUUGUCCAAGGUGAUUGUUCCUGAUAAAUGGAAGGAAGGUGCCAGCAACACUACUGAAGGCGGAGGCCGUAAGAUUAACGAGAACAAACUGCUCUCCAAGAAGAAAAGGUGGUCACCUUAUGGAAAUACAAAGUGCACUAUUUGCAAACAACAAGUGCAUCAAGAUGGCAAAUAUUGUCAUACCUGUGCUUAUAGUAAAGGAGUAUGUGCAAUGUGUGGAAAGCAAGUUCUUGACACCAAGCUAUACAAACAGAGCAAUGUAUGACGUGGACAUGGUUGACAAACUAACUUCAAUGUUACCUGAGCACGCUUAUCUUAGAGGAUUGUUCUUACUUUGUGAAUGCAAUGAGAACCAUUUGAUUCUGUAAAAAUACUAAAAUAGCUUGCCCCGUAUGAAGCGCUGUAAAAUGGGUGAUCUUUUGAAACAUUAAUUACGGUCUUGUCUUUGCAAAU